rnacentral:rRNA from 1 species
AACGUACGCUGGCGGCAGGCCUAACACAUGCAAGUCGAGCGAGAAAGCCCUUCGGGGUGAGUAGAGCGGCGGACGGGUGAGUAACGCGUAGGAAUCUACCAAGUAGUGGGGGACAACAUGGUGAAAACUAUGCUAAUACCGGAUAAGACCACAUUUCAUAAGAAAUGCGGUAAAAGAAGUCUCAAUCUUCACUCGAGGAUGAGUUCGCGCAACAUUAGCUUGUUGGUGAGAUAAAAGCUCACCAAGGCUACGAUGUUUAGCCGGCCUGAGAGGGUGAACGGCCACACUGGAACUGAGACACGGUCCAGACUCCUACGGAGGCAGCAGUGGGGAAUAUUGCGCAAUGGGCGAAAGCCUGACGCAGCAACGCCGCGUGACCGAUG